GACUUUUUUAUUAGUAAUAACUUAAUUUUAUUAUCAAGUUAAAAGGCUUGGUUAAUGUAGAGUGACAAGAAGACCCUAAGAUUUUUACAGGGUAGUUGUUUACUGGCUUGUGUGGUAGUAAAGAGGGUGAGUGAUUAUUUUGUUUAGCUGGGGCGGUUGGAAUAUUGUCUAUUUUGUAAUUUACUUUAAUGAUAGUAUUGUGUAUAUUAUUAUCCUUGUUGGAAGACAUGAUAAAUUACCUUAGGGAUAACAGCAUAAUCUUUUCUGAGAGACCGUAUUGACGAAGAGGUUUGUGACCUCGAUGUUGGAUUUGAAUAACUUUUAGGG
rnacentral:rRNA from 1 species